CUCGUCGAAAGUCUUCCAUUCUUCAAACUAGAUUAUUUAAAAAUGAAAAAGGAAGAAAGGAAAGCGAGGUCAUCUCAUUGCUCUAUCCGCCAAUCAGGAGGCUGAAUGUCAGUUUUGAACUAAAAGCCGCUCCGCUCCUCUUCUAGAUUUGGAAAACAAGCGAAAUUAAACUAAACCGCUGCACGCCUCUGAUGCGACAUCUGGACACUGCGUGGCGCUGGCGCUGCCGGAGCUGCGGGCCCGGCCUGGCGCCGGACUAGUCUCCCUUUUGAUGAGAAGAGUAAGUCUCAUUCUGAUUCAACAGCAGAGAUCAAAGAAAAGACUUCUGUUUUCUGGCCACCAGAUAUAUGUUAUCUGUGCUUAAAGAACUGAAAAACACACAUCAAAGGAGAAUUCUCUUGGAAAGAGAGGGUUCAAGCAUUAUUGUUAGGUGUGCUGGAAUCCUUUCCCGAGUCAGUACUGCUUUCUAGAACAGAACCAGGGAGAUCUAUUUGGAAUGUAUCUAACUCCAAAGAAACCAUCAGAGGUAAUAGUGGAGACGGGGUUUCACCAUGUUGGCCAGACUGGUCUUGAACUCCAGACCUCAUGAUUCGCCUGCCUCCGCCUCCCAAAGUGCUGGGAUUACAUGUGUGAGACACCACACUCAGCGGAUAGAGAGAAUUUUGACAGUAUCUCACAGACAGCAAGUUGAACAUUGUGGGAUGCAUAAGCUAUUGAGGCCUUUGAAGCUUUCUGCUACAUGGAGGCUAGGGCCAGAGUCAAGAUUUAUGCUUUGCAGCACACUGGUCAGCUGUUUUUGCAAAUCAGAUUAAAUGAUUUUUAAAUGAGGCUGAGAGCAUGGGAGAUACUAAUGUGUGUUUCCUUGUGAGCUACUGCAUAAGUUAGGAAAUUGAAAUACAGAAAGAUGAAAAGUGAUUCGCCCAAGCAUAUAGAUCAAAGCUGUGGCAGA
rnacentral:antisense_RNA from 1 species